CAGUAUGGCGGCCGAGCGCAAAACUAAGUUGUCCAAGAACUUGCUGCGCAUGAAGUUCAUGCAAAGGGGACUGGACUCGGAAACCAAGAAACAACUAGAAGAGGAAGAAAAGAAAAUCAUUAGUGAAGAGCACUGGUACUUGGAUUUGCCUGAGCUGAAAGAGAAAGAGUUUCAUUAUAGAAGAGCAGAGUUUCUUGUUGUGUGAAGAUCUUCUCUACGGAACAAUGUCAUUCAGAGGAUUUAAUCCUGAGGUUGAGAAAUUAAUGCUUCAGAUGAAUGCUAAGAACAAAGCAGAAGAAGUUGAAGAGCAAACAGUGGAGCUCGAUGUCUCAGAUGAAGAAAUGGCUAAAAGAUAUGAGACCUUGGUGGGGACAAUUGGGAAAAAGUUUGCCAAGAAAAGAGACCGUGCCAUUUACGAAGAAGAUGAAAAUGGAGACAUAAAACCAAUUAAAGCAAAGAAGAUGUUCUUAAAGCCCCAAGAUUAAAGUGGAGGCCUUAGGAUAUGGCUCAGGGAUGAGGGCAUGUUUUGGAACGCACUCUGUCGGCUCCUCUGUAGUCAUUAGGGCCGUAAUGUUUAUGUGUAAAGAAAUGUAUACUUUUGGAAACAUGCUGUUUUUGGAACAGACGUGUGAUGGA